rnacentral:rRNA from 1 species
UACGGGGGGGGUAAGCGUUGUUCGGAAUUACUGGGCGUAAAGGGCUCGUAGGCGGCCAACUAAGUCAGACGUGAAAUCCCUCAGCUUAACUGGGGAACUGCGUCUGAUACUGGAUGGCUUGAGUCCGGGAGAGGUGAGUGGAACUGCGAGUGUAGAGGUGAAAUUCGUAGAUAUUCGCAAGAACACCAGUGGCGAAGGCGGCUCACUGGCCCGGUACUGACGCUGAGGUGCGAAAGCGUGGGGAGCAAACAGG